rnacentral:rRNA from 1 species
CACAUCCAAGGAAGGCAGCAGGCGCGCAAAUUACCCAAUCCUGACUCAGGGAGGUAGUGACAAGAAAUAACAAUAAACCGGCUUAUGCCGGUUUAAUUGGAAUGAGUACAAUUUAAACAUCUUAACGAGGAACAAUUGGAGGGCAAGUCUGGUGCCAGCAGCCGCGGUAAUUCCAGCUCCAAUAGCGUAUACUAAAGUUGUUGCAGUUAAAAAGCUCGUAGUUGGAUUUCUGUGGGGACGGAGCGGCCGGCCGCAACACGCGGUUCGAGCUAGCGCUUUCCCUACAUCCUGCCGCGAACCGUGCUACCAUUAAUUUGGAGGCGCCGGGGAUCGGCUCGAUUACUUUGAGAAAAAUAGAGUGUUCAAAGCAGGCCACAUGCCUUGAAUAAGUUAGCAUGGAAUAAUAACUAAGGACUUCGGUUCUAUUUUGUUGGUGUUCGGGACUGAAGUAAUGAUUGAUAGGGACAGUUGGGGCGGUCUGUAUUCCAAAGCGAGAGGUGAAAUUCUUAGACCUUCGGAAGACAAACAGCUGCGAAAGCGUUCCGCAAGGAUGUUCCCUUUGAUCAAGAACGAAAGUUGGGGGAUCGAAGACGAUCAGAUACCGUCGUAGUCUCAACUAUAAACUAUACCAGCUAGGGAUCGGCCAACGUUAUUUCAUACCGACUUGGUCGGCACCUUAUGAGAAAUCAAAGCAUCUGGGUUCCGGGGGGAGUAUGGUCGCAAGGCUGAAACUUAAAGGAAUUGACGGAAGGGCACCACCAGCCGUGGAGCCUGUGGCUUAAUUUGACUCAACACGGGAAAACUUACCAGGUCCAGACAUAGUAAGGAUUGACAGAUUGAUAGCUCUUUCUUGAUUCUGUGGGUGGUGGUGCAUGGCCGUUCUUAGUUGGUGGAGUGAUUUGUCUGGUUAAUUCCGUUAACGAACGAGACCCCAGCCUGCUAAAUAGCGCGCGUGAGCUUUGCUCGCGGCGAGCUUCUUAGAGGGACUCUGAUGCGCGAUAGCACAUGGAAGUUUGGGGCAAUAACAGGUCUGUGAUGCCCUUAGAUGUUCUGGGCCGCACACGGGCUACACUGGCGCCUGCAACGAGCAUAUCAGCUGGCCCGAGAGGGUCUUGGCUAAUCUUUUGAACCGGCGCCGUGCUUGGGAUUGACCUUUGCAAUUGUUGGUCAUGCAACGAGGAAUGCCUUGUAAACGCGAGUCAUCAGCUCGCAUUGAAUACGUCCCUGCCCUUUGUACACACCGCCCGUCGCUCCUACCGAUGAAUGUUCCGAUGAAAUUUUCGGAGAGCACCUGUGAACUUGGCUCCGCCUUGCGAACGGGAGGCUCAAAGUCACUUAAAUCUGAACAUUUCGAGG